rnacentral:rRNA from 1 species
CCUACGGGAGGCAGCAGUGGGGAAUUUUGCGCAAUGGGGGCAACCCUGACGCAGCAACGCCGCGUGAGUGAUGAAGGCCUUCGGGUCGUAAAGCUCUGUCAGAGGGGAAGAAAUGCAGGUGGUGAACAACCAUUCUGUUUGACGGUACCCUCAAAGGAAGCACCGGCUAACUCCGUGCCAGCAGCCGCGGUAAUACGGAGGGUGCGAGCGUUGUUCGGAAUUAUUGGGCGUAAAGCGCGUGUAGGCGGUUUGUUAAGUCGGAUGUGAAAGCCCGGGGCUCAACCGGGGAAGUGCAUUGGAUACUGGCAGACUAGAGUACGGGAGAGGAGAGUGGAAUUCCCAGUGUAGGAGUGAAAUGCGUAGAUAUCGGGAGGAACACCAGUGGCGAAGGCGGCCCCCUGGGGUGCAACUGACGCUGAGGCGCGAAAGCGAGGGGAGCGAACGGGAUUAGAUCCCCUUGUAGU